UUUCCGUAGGUGAACCUGCGGAAGGAUCAUUAACGAGUUAGGGUCUUUUAGGCCCGACCUCCCAACCCCAUGUUUAUUGAACCUCUGUUGCUUCGGCGGACCCGUCUCACGGCCGCCGGAGGACCGCUGCGAGGCGUCCUCUGGCCAGCGUCCGGCGAUGGCCAACCCACUAAACUCUGAAUGAAUCGUGUCAUAUGUCUAAGUUUAUGAUUAAAUUAAAGCAAAACUUUCAACAACGGAUCUCUUGGUUCUG
rnacentral:misc_RNA from 1 species